UGGGGAAUCUUGCGCAAUGGGGGAAACCCUGACGCAGCAACGCCGUGUGAGUGAUGAAGGCUUUCGGGUCGUAAAGCUCUGUCAGAUGGGAAGAAUUAGUCCGUUGAAAAUAUCGGCGGACGAUGACGGUACCAUCGAAGGAAGCACCGGCUAACUCCGUGCCAGCAGCCGCGGUAAUACGGAGGGUGCAAGCGUUGUUCGGAAUUAUUGGGCGUAAAGCGCGUGUAGGCGGAUAGAUAAGUCAGGUGUGAAAUCCCUUGACUCAAUCAAGGAACUGCACUUGAAACUAUUUAUCUUGAGUACGAUAGGGGAGGGCGGAAUUCCCAGUGUAGAGGUGAAAUUCAUAGAUAUUGGGAGGAACACCAGUGGCGAAGGCGACCCUCUGGAUCGAUACUGACGCUGAGACGCGAAAGCGUGGGUAGCAAACA
rnacentral:rRNA from 1 species